rnacentral:rRNA from 1 species
CUUGGUCAUUUAGAGGAAGUAAAAGUCGUAACAAGGUUUCCGUAGGUGAACCUGCGGAAGGAUCAUUAUCGAAUGAAACUAGAGUCGGUUGUCGCUGGCCCCUUAGCUGGGGCAUGUGCACGCCUUCUCUAUUCAUCCACAUACACACUUGUGAACUCGUGAGACGGAUAGUAGUCCCUCCGGGGGCGAGCUCCGUCUGCUAUACAUAAACUCCAGUAUAUUAAUCUGAAUGUAAUCUGAUGUAACACAUCUUUGAACUAAGUUUCAACAACGGAUCUCUUGGCUCUCGCACCGAUGAAGAACGCAGCGAAAUGCGAUAAGUAAUGUGAAUUGCAGAAUUCAGUGAAUCAUCGAAUCUUUGAACGCACCUUGCGCUCCUUGGUAUUCCUCGGAGCAUGCCUGUUUGAGUAUCAUGAAACCCUCAAAAUAAGUCUUUUGUUUAUUCGAUCGAUUUUAUUUUGGAUUUGGAGGUCUGCAGAUUCACGUCUGCUCCUCUUAAAUUUAUUAGCUGGAUCUAGACGAACUCGGUUCCACUCGGCGUGAUAAGUAUCACUCGCUGAGGACACUGUAAAAGGUGGCCGGGGUUGUCCAAGAACCGCUUCUAAUAGUCUAUUCACUUGAACAAAUUUAUUUAUGAUCUGAUCUCAAAUCAGGUAGGACUACCCGCUGAACUUAAGCAUAUCAAUAAGCGGAGGA